rnacentral:lncRNA from 1 species
CGGCAGUCAAGUCGCAGCUCUACUCUCGGGUCACUGACGUGUGGGGUCCGUUGACUCGCGGGGUCCCCCUGUCAGUCUCCCUUUUCUCCUUUGUUUGAUUUAGGGUUUGAGCUAUUUUUGCAAAAAAUCAUAUCUCUGGUUCCUGUGAUCCAAAAAUUGUGAAACCAAUUUUGUGAGAUUCUUUGAGAUGACUAGUUUUUACGAAAAAUAUAAAAUGUACCAUGUUCUCUGGAAAAAAUAAUUGUUAUGAUUUAAUCUUGAUUAUUUAAGUAUAAAUUCAUAUCUCUUGAUGUACUGCUCCUUUUGUUCUGAAAAUUUUAUGCUAGGCUCUGAGUGGAAUGAGAAUGCUGUGAUAAAUAUUUCAUGAUUUUUGGAGUACUAUAUCUGUGUUGUGUAAUUUAUUUUUGAGAUAUGGCUUGUUUUCAUAUUUAAAUCACAAUAAAUGUUUGGUGCUUAUGCUGGUGCUCUACUCUGGUGUCAAGCUUGCUUAUGGUAAUAGUAGUAUGUAAAUAAUCUGAAAUCUGUUGUUUGACACUAUCUAAGCCUUGUUUCUUAAUUUAUGAAAUAAGCACCAUGUCACAUGUCAAAUGCUUAUCUUAAUUUUAACAUGUGCAGUUGCUCUGAAAUUUUUAUGGUAAUGUAUAGAUGCCAUACUUGUGCUUCUGUAAUUUUUGUAGAUGUUUCUGAGCACUUUUGCUAGUAUCUUGUAAUUAUGUCCCUUUAUAGAAUUAAAUUGAUAAAUGCCUUAUUAUUAAAUAUCUAGGGGUUAACAUAUGAUGUUCUGGUUGUCUUAUGAUGUGCUUGUGCUUGUAAGCCUUUUGGUUAGCACUAGGUAUGCUUUGGCUAUGUCAUUAAAUAAUUAAUUAGAGGGUUAAGAGCUGUUCUGGACAGCAAGAGAGUAAUCCAACCUUUGCUUAUUGAUAACUUGGUUUCCUGGAAGACUUGUCUAAAUCAAAGUUCUUGUAAACUUUAUGAACUAGCUGUGGUUUAAAUUUGGGGUCAAUUGGUCCAAUAGUUUAAAAGUUAUGGCUUUUCCAAGUUGGGUUCCAGAAAUAGGUGUUCUCUGUUUUUCUGGGACAGAACCUUGAACUUUGUUUAAAUGACUUGUUCAACUUAUGAAUCUUGCUGUGAUGUUUAAAGAUGAAAUGUAGACAAUUUCAUGAGCUUUCCAGAAUGUUCUCAUUUAUGUUUGUUGGAUCUUUAUAACAAUAGUUAUGACCGAUUUACUGAGCUGUUCUGUUAUAUGAUGCUUGUUGUUUAUAGUUUGACUCGCUAUGUCUUGCUAGGUUAAUUAGUUAUCCUUUGUGAGUUUACCUUAGAUGUUUGCUCAGUAAAUGAGUGUCCAGUGAAGUUCUAAUUGCAUUGUCAAGCAUUCAUUCCCAUCCCGUAUGCACCCAUUCUUACUUACCAUACAUGCAAUAGGUGCACCGGACGCGACAGCUUCUUUCGAGCUCCAGGUGAACCCCGAAGGCCAGGAGGGCAAUCUGGAGGUGGAGGACCAGCAAGCCAGACACGAGGAGCCCGAAGAGGAGGUUGAGUGCCCAAAUCACGAGCCGGCAUCAUUCGUGAAAGGCAAGCGUGGAGCAUCUUAAGUCUCCCACUUUAAUUUAGAAAGCUUAUUGAUUAUGUUAUCUCUAUUGAUGCAUUACGUAUAGGAGUUGUGAUGAAACCCUUGCUGCAUUUUACUCAAUCCUUGUCCAGAUAUCUUACCACUACCUGGUUAUAGAGUUAGGUUCGAGUAGUGGCUUAGACAUUGUUGGGUAUUUUAAACGCAAACAGAAAAAUCCGCAAGCGCACGGAUACCGAUGUAGCCUUCACCCGAGAGUAUUCCAGAGUAUCGAUUUUCCACAGGGAACGUGAGUGUACUAAUUAAGAAUCAAGAUCGCCCAAGGAUAACUAUAUAAUUUUUUUUGGUGGGAAGAGAGGAAGUUUCCUGAGAGUUCUCUAGUUGAUCUAAGAAUCAAGAAUUACUUCAAGAUUAUCUAUAUCGGGACAUCAGAGCACUAAGCACAGAAAGAGAUGAGAAGGGGGCUAGGAAGGUCUGACUACGGUCCUACAAACACCGAUCUGAACAUGGUGGAAUACCUCGACCGUUAGGGCUGUCACUACCCUAGGGCUACCACAACAAUCCGCAGGAUUGGGUGCAAUUCCAGGUAAUUGCAAGACUAAACACCACGUCUAAUCUAUUAAUUACUACUCUAGCGUUAUAAAGACUAGAGCACUUGAUGCAAGCAGGAAUCCAAUAAAUAACUUGAAUUAAAGAACUCAGGAAUUAUGAAUUGAAGAACCUGGAGAACGAUGAAGGACGAACCAGUUGCUGCAAAAGUACAAUAUUGAGGAAGAUCCGACAGAUCCGGCUCCUCCUCCGCUCUCCUCUUCUCUCUCCCUAUUUUCUAUAUUACAACUAGAACUAACUAGAACUAGAACUAGAGGAACUAGAACUAGAACUAGAUGAACUAGAACUAGAUCUAGAUGAACUAGAGGUAGAACUAGAAGAACUAGAGGGAUCCUCUCUACUUGGAUGAAGAAUUGAAACCCUAGCUUUGAUUCUGU